GGAUCCUCUACCGGCUUUUGGAGUCAGUGCUGCCGCCGCUGCCCGCGGCUUUGCAGAGCAGGAUGAAUGUGAUAGACCACGUGCGGGACAUGGCGGCCGCGGGGCUGCACUCCAACGUGCGGCUCCUAAGCAGCUUGUUACUUACAAUGAGCAAUAACAACCCUGAGUUAUUCUCCCCAUCUCAGAAGUACCAACUUUUGGUGUAUCAUGCAGAUUCUCUCUUUCAUGAUAAGGAAUAUCGGAAUGCCGUGAGUAAGUAUACCAUGGCUUUACAGCAGAAGAAAGCACUAAGUAAAACUUCAAAAGUGAGACCUUCAACUGGAAAUUCUGCAUCUACUCCACAAAGUCAGUGUCUUCCAUCUGAAAUUGAAGUGAAAUACAAAAUGGCUGAAUGUUACACAAUGCUAAAACAAGAUAAAGAUGCCAUUGCUAUACUUGAUGGGAUCCCUUCAAGACAAAGAACUCCCAAAGCUUGUUGUCCCUUUCUGUAAAAGGGGCAGAGGUGGCAUCCAUGACAAUGAAUGUGAUCCAAACCGUGCCUAACUUGGACUGGCUCUCUGUGUGGAUCAAAGCGUAUGCUUUUGUGCACACUGGUGACAACUCAAGAGCAAUCAAUACCAUCUGGUGAGAGCCACAAAGUUAAUUCAGUGUUCUUGAGGCCCUUUGCUUGUCUGGAAGUCUGAUGUAUCUGAAGUAGCAAAAAGAAAAAUGAGAUGCUUCUCUCUUGGUGCUGC
rnacentral:sRNA from 1 species